UUCCCAUUCCGCAAGGAAGUAAGAUCCCUGAAAGAUGAUCAGGUUGAUAGGUCUGAGGUGGAAGUGUGGCGACACAUGGAGCUGACAGAUACUAAUCGAUCGAGGACUUAACCAAUUU
rnacentral:rRNA from 1 species